ensembl:lncRNA
GUAGGUCCCGGGGCUGGUCGGCCUGGGUAUUUAGAGAGAAACUUGGGUAGGGUGUUGCAGUGGUGGCCAUAUUUUAACCUGGCAAAAAGGGCGCAUGAAAGUGGCGUAGUUGCUGUCCUCAGCCCAGGUUUCCACCAGGGGAAGGCCCAGGCGGUUACCCUGAACCAGGGGAAGGCCCAGGCGGUUACCCUGAUAACGGGGUACAGAGGCAUCCUGGGAAGGACGGAGGCUAGGGCUAGAAGUACUUCGUUCUAACUUCAGGACACCAUAUGUCAGUAACUUUGGAGUUGGAUCUACGUUCUUGAGGCAGAAAUACUGAAGUGAUUGCCAUUCCCUUCUCCAGUCGACCAUGUUUUGUCAGAACGCUCCACUGUGACCCGUCUGUUUUGGAUGGCCCUGCAUGUCGACAGCCAGCACUUUCCAAAAUCACAGUGCUGAUCAUGCUCCUAGCCCACUGGAGAACGUACAAUGGCUUGUCUUCAUCUACAUCUACAAAAUAAGGUCCAGCCUGUUCAUUGCAGCAAACUAGACCCUUCACAAUUUGACCAGCCUCACCUUUACACCUUAUGUCUUACAGCCCCCGUUUGUCUGCUGUUCUGUACUCCUAUGUUCAGUUCCACCAUUCAGCCCCCUUUCUUUGGAAUGGGGAAUCUUGAUUUUACCACUUUCUAACUCUAUGAUCUCAGGCAAGUCAUUUAAUUUCUGAGUCUCAGUUUCCUC